rnacentral:rRNA from 1 species
UACGAAGGGGGCUAGCGUUGCUCGGAAUUACUGGGCGUAAAGGGCGCGUAGGCGGAUAUCUAAGUUGGGGGUGAAAUCCCGGGGCUCAACCCCAGAAGUGCAUUCGAAACUGCAGAGCUUGAGUCUUGGAGAGGGUGGUGGAAUUCCGAGUGUAGAGGUGAAAUUCGUAGAUAUUCGGAGGAACACCAGUGGCGAAGGCGACCACCUGGACAAAGACUGAACGCUGAGGUG